CGAAAGCCUGACGGAGCAACGCCGCGUGAGGGAGGAAGGUCUUUGGAUUGUAAACCUCUUUUCUCAAGGAAGAUAAUGACGGUACUUGAGGAAUCAGCAUCGGCUAACUCCGUGCCAGCAGCCGCGGUAAUACGGGGGAUGCAAGCGUUAUCCGGAAUUAUUGGGCGUAAAGAGUCCGUAGGUGGCAAUUCAAGUCUGUGGUCAAAGACUAGAGCUUAACUCUGGAAAGGCCAUGGAAACUGAAGAGCUAGAGUUCGGGAGGGGUAGAGGGAAUUCCCAGUGUAGCGGUGAAAUGCGUAGAGAUUGGGAAGAACACCAGUGGCGAAGGCGCUCUACUGGACCGAAACUGACACUCAGGGACGAAAGCUAGGGGAGCG
rnacentral:rRNA from 1 species